AGCUUCAUUUCCGGCGAGAUCACUCACUGCGCGCGCCCCCACCUCGCCUCGCCGCGCCACUCAUAUUCUAGAAGGAGAGGUCGAAAAACCACAUGUGAAGUGUAUAAUCGUGCUUAUUCUGAAUUACUUGUGCUUAAAUCGAGGGAACUGAUUUAGUUGUUUGUUUUGUAAUAUUAAAGAAAUGGUGGGCUCGCGGGUUUAUGUUGGUGGUCUGCCGUUCGGCGUUCGAGAUCGGGAUCUCGAAAAAUUCUUCAAAGGCUUCGGCAGGAUAAGAGAUAUUUUGAUCAAGAAUGGAUACGGAUUUGUUGAAUUUGAAGAUCAUCGAGAUGCAGAUGAUGCUGUCUAUGAAUUGAAUGGCAAAGAAUUGCUAGGAGAAAGGGUGGUGGUGGAGCCGGCCCGAGGAAUCGACCGCAGCGCAGACCGCUACCGUCGCGACCGCUACUACGAGCGCGACCGCGGCCGGUCGCGAUACGAGGACUACAAUUAUAGAUACGGCCCGCCGACGCGUACGGAGUAUCGACUUAUCGUCGAAAAUCUGUCUAGCCGCAUAAGCUGGCAGAAGGUGGCGAUUCGUGCCCAGAGCCCUCGAUGUGUGUGAGAUGUGGUCUGACCCGAUGUUAGGAGGGUUUCGAUCCCGGUGCAGCCUGGUGAUGUGGUGUUGACGUCAUCCCCCCGCCCCGCCCCUCGCAGCUGGACGCCUCUUGGUGGCGCCUCGCCAAGGAUCUUAAAGACUACAUGCGCCAGGCUGGAGAAGUUACGUAUGCUGACGCACAUAAGCAGCACAGGAACGAAGG
rnacentral:misc_RNA from 1 species